GAGCAAUGAUGGAAAGAUUUUACUACUGACCUUUAUAUCUAUGAAGGUUUCUACACUUAAUCUAAGCUCA
rnacentral:snoRNA from 1 species